GGCAGCACGACUUUGAGCUCUGGUGGUUACCGCUUGAGCCUCGCGAGGGGGUGUUGAUACAAAAGCAGAAGUUAGAGGACCAAUAUCAUUGCCCAACACGACUUCAGAGGGUAAUUCUUUCAUCACACCCACUUGGACAUUGCCAGCUCUAGUGCCCCUGUCUAGAUGCUCUUGUGCGGUAGGAAUCCGAUACACUGCCCCCCUGCCACUCUCACAGCAAUAGAUUUCCCCAGUCUUUCAGAGUUAUCAAUAAGAUGC